rnacentral:rRNA from 1 species
UACGGGGGGGGCAAGCGUUGUUCGGAAUUACUGGGCGUAAAGGGUUCGUAGGUGGCCAACUAAGUCAGACGUGAAAUCCCUCAGCUUAACUGGGGAACUGCGUCUGAUACUGAUUGGCUUGAGUGCAGGAGAGGAACGCGGAAUUCCAGGUGUAGCGGUGAAAUGCGUAGAUAUCUGGAGGAACACCGGUGGCGAAGGCGGCGUUCUGGACUGCAACUGACACUGAGGAACGAAAGCCAGGGGAGCAAACAGG